rnacentral:rRNA from 1 species
UUUUUCGCCAGGGAACAACGAGCUUCAGCUUAAAACCCAAAGGACUUGGCGGUGCUUUAGACCCCCCUAGAGGAGCCUGUCCUAGAACCGAUAGUCCUCGUUUAACCUCACCCCCUCUUGUUUAACCAACCUGUAUACCGCCGUCUGCAGCCCACCUUGUAAAGGCCUAGAAGUGGGCAAAACUGGUACUACCUAAGACGUCAGGUCGAGGUGCAGUCUAUGAGGGGGGAAGAGAUGGGCUACAUUUUCUGACCCAGAAUAAUACGAAUUCUGCCCUGAAAAAGCACAUGAAGGUGGAUUUAGCAGUAAGAAGAGAUUAGAAAGCUCUCCUGAAGCCGGCCCUGAAGCGCGU